ACAUACAUAUAUAUAUGUGUGUAGAAUGCCCAAUCUCAUCUGAUUUGGGAAGCUAAGCAGGGUCGGGCCUGGUUAGUACUUGGAUGGGAGACCUUGGGAACACCAAGUGCUGGAGGCU
rnacentral:rRNA from 1 species